GCGGAAGGAUCAUUAAAG
rnacentral:rRNA from 1 species